rnacentral:rRNA from 1 species
CCUACGGGUGGCUGCAGUGGGGAAUAUUGGACAAUGGGCGAAAGCCUGAUCCAGCCAUGCCGCGUGUGUGAAGAAGGCCUUCGGGUUGUAAAGCACUUUCAUUGGGGAAGAAAGCCUGAGGGCGAAUACCCUCGAGGAAGGACAUCACCCACAGAAGAAGCACCGGCUAACUCCGUGCCAGCAGCCGCGGUAAUACGGAGGGUGCGAGCGUUAAUCGGAAUUACUGGGCGUAAAGCGCGCGUAGGCGGUCUGAUAAGCCGGUUGUGAAAGCCCCGGGCUCAACCUGGGAACGGCAUCCGGAACUGUCAGGCUAGAGUGCAGGAGAGGAAGGUAGAAUUCCCGGUGUAGAGGUGAAAUGCGUAGAGAUCGGGAGGAAUACCAGUGGCGAAGGAGGCCUUCUGGACUGACACUGACGCUGAGGUGCGAAAGCGUGGGUAGCAAACAGGAUUAGAUACCCCGUAGUC